CAGGUGGGUAGAUGGCAGGUUGAAUAAAGAGAAGCUAGUGAUGUGGGGGUUCUCUCAUAACCCUCAGUCCCCAGGUGGGUAGAUGGCAGGUUGAAUAAAGAGAAGCUAGUGAUGUGGGGGUUCUCUCAUAACCCUCAGUCCCCAGGUGGGUAGAUGGCAGGUUGAAUAAAGAGAAGCUAGUGAUGUGGGGGUUCUCUCAUAACCCUCAGUCCCCAGGUGGGUAGAUGGCAGGUUGAAUAAAGAGAAGCUAGUGAUGUGGGGGUUCUCUCAUAACCCUCAGUCCCCAGGUGGGUAGAUGGCAGGUUGAAUAAAGAGAAAACAAUAGGCUACAUAAAACAAUCCAUGAAUGUAUAAUUAUUGUGCAAUUUACACAAAACAUUAAGGACAACUUUCUUUCCAUGACAAACUGACCAGGUGAAUCCAGGUGAAAGCUAUGAUCCCUUAUUGAUGUCACUUGUAGAUGAAGGGGACGAGACAGGUUAAAGAAUCAUUUUUAAUCCUUGAUACAAUUGAGACAUGGAUUGUGUAUGUGUGUCAUUCAGAGGGUGAAUGAGCAAGACAAAAUAUAUAAGUGCCUUUGAACGGGGUAUGGUAGUAGGUGACAUGCAACCUGUUUGUGUCAUGAACUGCAACGCUGCUGGGUUUUUCAGGCUCAUGGUCCACCACCCAAUGGACAUCCAGCCAACUUGACACAACUGUGGGAAGCAUUGGAGUCAACAUGGGCCAGCAUCCCUGUGGAACACUUUCAACACCAUGUAGAGUCCAUGCCCUGAUGAAUUGAGGCUGUUUUGAGGAC
rnacentral:lncRNA from 1 species